GUGCAGACCUUAUCCAGCGAGGCUCAGCCUGCUGUGGCUCUGAUCUUUCCUGUAGUGUCUGCUAGAGAGACGUGAGGCUUGUUUGAGGCCCUGCUGUGACUCUUCACGGCGGGGUUAUAGGUAAACCUCCGACAUUG